CCUGAGCAGCAACGCCGCGUGAGGGAUGACGGCCUUCGGGUUGUAAACCUCUUUUAGCAGGGAAGAAGCGAAAGUGACGGUACCUGCAGAAAAAGCGCCGGCUAACUACGUGCCAGCAGCCGCGGUAAUACGUAGGGCGCAAGCGUUAUCCGGAAUUAUUGGGCGUAAAGAGCUCGUAGGCGGUUUGUCGCGUCUGCUGUGAAAUCCCGAGGCUCAACCUCGGGCCUGCAGUGGGUACGGGCAGACUAGAGUGCGGUAGGGGAGAUUGGAAUUCCUGGUGUAGCGGUGGAAUGCGCAGAUAUCAGGAGGAACACCGAUGGCGAAGGCAGAUCUCUGGGCCGUAACUGACGCUGAGGAGCGAAAGGGUGGGGAGCAAACAGGCUUAGAUACCCUGGUAGUCCACCCCGUAAACGUUGGGAACUAGGUGUGGGGUCCAUUCCACGGAUUCCGUGCCGCAGCUAACGCAUUAAGUUCCCCGCCUGGGGAGUACGGCCGCAAGGCUAAAACUCAAAGGAAUUGACGG
rnacentral:rRNA from 1 species